UUCUGCAUCGAUCUACAUACGUUCCUCUUCUCGACAGCUUCCUCACACGAGGCAGACUGACCACUCCUCAGUAAAACGAACAUAACUUCUGCUACAAGAUGUUGAUUGACCUAAAACCGGUGGAAUUGGAAAGCUAACUCAAAGUUCUAUCUUGUGUCAAAAUAUGGGCUCAAUCUAACAAUGGGAAAGUCUCCAUCCAUAGCUAGACAUCUGACGCGCCUGUGCAGUUCUGCACCUCAAAAGGCUCCAAAAUUACCAUAUUUCUCCGGAACGUACCUGAACCUGUAAAUACUCUAAAUAGACUCUAUAUGGUUGUAAAUAUAUAUUAAAUUACUUAUAGACCAUGGCUAAAAGUGGGUAAAAUCCAUGGUCUAUCAACCAUCGGUCGAUAUUGGAGAGGAAUAAUCGAUCGAUGUUCAUAUCUUGACCUCGAUCGACAGCGAAACGCUCAGAAAGCCCGUUUGGUCACAGCCGACAUGAAGCCCAAGUCUUCCCCAAUUUACAAGAUUACCCCUGACGAGUUUUUAACCUAAUUAUAUAAACUUUGCCACCAUGUUAGAGGCAAAGUGUGCUUUUCUUGUUUUAUUAUUUUCACAACAAGGUUUUCAAAGCGUGCUUAAUCAUAUACCUAUUAGAUCUAAUUGGUUCCCUAGCUCCUUGUGAAUUCAAUCCUUAAGUACUACAACUCGACCUCUUAUUUGAGAGAGUAUAAAUCACUCCUUAGGGUAAUUUGAGUGGUAUCACUCAGCCAGCUCGAAUCUGAGAAUCUUACUCUCCGAGACGAGAACCAAGCCCUCAA
rnacentral:lncRNA from 1 species